AACGAACGCUGGCGGCAGGCCUAAAACAUGCAAGUCGAACGCUCCAGCAAUGGAGAGUGGCAGACGGGUGAGUAACACGUGGGAACCUACCCUUUGGUUCGGAAUAGCCCAGGGAAACUUGGGGUAAUACCGGAUAAGCCCUUCGGGGGAAAGAUUUAUCGCCAAAGGAUGGGCCCGCGUCGGAUUAGCUAGUUGGUGGGGUAACGGCCCACCAAGGCGACGAUCCGUAGCUGGUCUGAGAGGAUGAUCAGCCACACUGGGACUGAGACACGGCCCAGACUCCUACGGGAGGCAGCAGUUGGGAAUAUUGGACAAUGGGCGCAAGCCUGAUCCAGCCAUGCCGCGUGAGUGAAGAAGGCCUUCGGGUUGUAAAGCUCUUUCAGCGGGGAAGAUAAUGACGGUACCCGCAGAAGAAGCCCCGGCUAACUUCGUGCCAGCCGCCGCCGUAACAC
rnacentral:rRNA from 1 species